rnacentral:misc_RNA from 1 species
GAUGAAGAACGCAGCGAAAUGCGAUAAGUAAUGUGAAUUGCAGAAUUCAGUGAAUCAUCGAAUCUUUGAACGCACAUUGCGCCCCCUGGCAUUCCGGGGGGCAUGCCUGUUCGAGCGUCAUUACAACCCUCAAGCUCUGCUUGGUAUUGGGCUCUGCUGGGACCGGCAGGCCUUAAAAUCAGUGGCGGUGCCACUCGGCUUCAAGCGUAGUAAUUCUUCUCGCUUCGGAGACCCGGGUGCGUGCUAGCCAGCAACCCCCAACUUUCUUAGGUUGACCUCGGAUCAGGUAGGGAUACCCGCUGAACUUAAGCAUAUCAAUAAGCGGAGGA